rnacentral:tRNA from 1 species
GGCCCCAUAGUCCAAUAGGCAGGAGACAAACGACUUAAAAUCGUUACAGUGUGGAUUCGAAUUCCACUGGGGCUA